rnacentral:tRNA from 1 species
UGCAUCGGCCGGGGAUCGAACCCGGGCCGCCCGCGUGGCAGGCGAGUAUUCUACCACUGAACCACCGAUGC